rnacentral:rRNA from 1 species
GAUGAACGCUGGCGGCGUGCCUAAUACAUGCAAGUCGAGCGAACAGAGGAGGAACUUGCUCCUCUGACAUUAGAGGCGGACGGGGGAGUAACACGUGGAAAACAUCCCUAUAAGACUGGGAUAAAUUAGGGAGACAGGAGCUAAUAUAGCAUAAAAUAUUGAACCGCGUGGUUCAGGAGAGAAAGACGGUUUUGCUGUCACGUAUAGAAGGAUCGGAGGCGCAUUAGCUAGUUGGUAAGGUAACGGCUUACCAAGGCGUCGAUGAUUGGCCGACCUGAGAGGUGGACCGCCCACACUGGACCUGAACCACGCUCCAGACUCCUACGGGAGCCACCAUUAGGGAUUCUUCCGCAUGGGGCGAAGGCCUGCCGGGCCACCGCCGCGUGGUGGAUGAAGCUCUUCGGAUCUUAAGACCCGUUUAUUAGGGAAAAACAAAUGUUUACGAAUCGUGGCACGUCUUGACGGUACCUAAAUAGAAAGCCACGGCUAACUACGUG